CUUGCCUGCCUGGUGCGUGUCGGGGGCAUAGGCGGCCACAGAGAGCCCGCAGGUGAAGGGAUGCAGUUCCAGGUGAGGUAGAAGUAAGGCACGGUAAAAGACAAACUGCCACAUAGUAGACAAUUUAAGAGUUCAUCUGAGCAGAAAUCAACAGGAAUCCGGCAGUGCCGAUUGAAAAGUAGUUAGGAGCACUUAGCCACAGACAGGAGCUGGGGAGAGACUUUUACAGAGAAAAGGCGGAAGCAAGGAAGUUACUCCUAAAUAUUUUCGUCUCCUGGCAUCCAGUUCCAAUGAGUUUGUGAAAGCUGAGGACCCGCCCCCCAUGGUUCCGUCCCACCAACUCCCUGGCCACGUCUGCAGCCAUUACUCUCCUGAGAAGUUUCCUCUGCUUCGUGGCAUGAAUUCCAAAGUA